rnacentral:rRNA from 1 species
AUGGGUCCUUGCGGCGGUGGUGGCGGCAAACCAUGGAAGAUGGACAUGCGUGGUGUCAACCGUAUCAUUAAGGUGGUUGUUCGCCACGGCGCCGCGGUCGACGCCAUGUCGGUGUUGUAUGAGCGGGAUGGCCAGAAGGAAAAGACCAAGCUGUGGGGAGGAUCUGGGGGCAAGCGCUCGGAGAUCUGUUUGGAGCCAGGAGAGCACUUGACAAACAUCAGAGGCCACUACGGCUUCUUUAACGGCUGGUUCGUGAUCAGGUCGCUCACUUUUGUGAGCAACCGCCGCACUUUUGGGCCGUACAGGGAGGAGACAGGCACGGCAUUCAAGCUCCCAGGAGCCGGCGGCAAAAUUCUUGGCUUCCACGGGCGUUCGGAAGGCCUCCUGGACGCUCUUGGCACAUAUGUCAAGAUGGGCUAG